UACUAAUGUUAUCGCUACUUCGUUUAAA
rnacentral:sRNA from 1 species